GUGGCAUGUAGAGAUCGGGAGGUCAUUAUUGGGUAUUAGUUUAUUCAUUGGUUGGGGCCGAUAGAGGGGGUUGGAUUACGCAUAUAUAAACAGCAUACGUGUGUGUGACCCAGACGAGCGUCACUUCCCGGUAUCCCGUUUCGCUUCCGGCGUAUGGACUGAGGGCUGUUGUUAUCUUGGGUAUGUGAAACUAUUACCGCUAUGUGCAUCUCUUUAAAACAUGGAUUAUACAUGUCGGUUUUCUGCAGCUGUGCAGGACGAUUGCUGCAACUGUAAACAUCUCCGUGGCUGCAGAUAUUGUGGCUUUGACUUGUCGGCGGCGUGUCUCAUCUGUUUAUGCGAUCACAUUCAGGUAACGUUGUGUUCUAAUGGCGUGUUGACUGACUUGCAUUUCAUUAGUAACUUAUGCCUUUAUCAUAGUCAAUACGAUGCUGCGUAUGGGCGGAUGACGACUGUAUAUGCCAAGUUAUUCUCCUUGUGUAUCCUGAGCUCCACCAACUGAGUGAUUAAACUGAAACUAAAACUUUGCAUUGCCACUAUGGAGUAUUAUCUUCACCUCCACUGAUUCCCAGGUCCCUGUGCCUGUUAUUCGGUAUGUCUCACUCAUGUGGGUUUAUUACAGAAAUGUAUUGUGACGACUGAUUAACAUGAUUAGUUUUCCCCUAUUUUAUAGAGCGAUAGGGGUAUGCAGUGACGUCACCGCUGUCUUGUUCCGGGUUGAAUAUUCGCGUUCGUGAACGUGAAUCCCAUUUUGAUACGUUUGUGAAUCCGCUAAUGCGGUGGGAGUGCUUUUGCACUUAUACGGUCCAGUUAUGUUUUCAGUUGAUUUACUUGUUGUUUUGGGUUAAUUUUGUAUUAUUGCCAGCGUACUGGCGUGAACAUAUGUUUUCUUUCUGUUUGUUUCAGUGACAAUUGGUUUUGUUUCUUUAUUCUUUAAUUCAAUUUAAUUUGGUUAAUUUUGUUAUUGUGUGUUUGACAGGCAUUAAGUGUCAGCUGUGUUGCCUGCCUGAAUUUUGUAAAUCAUUUUUGUUUCUGUUUGAGUGUGUGUUUGUUGUGUUAUUUUGUUUUACAGGAGCUGCAGACCUUUGAUGAAGAGCAGGGCUAAAUAAAGUCUUUCUUUAGGUGGUGAUGGUGUUUCCUCACGGAGUGCUGUGAUUUGCCGUGUGCACUGGGGUUUUUGGAGUGGUGUGAGUUUGCAGUCAACAAAAUUUGACACUUAUGUCGAAGAAAAUUGUGGGAAAAGAAAAUGCUUGCAAACAAUCCAGCUUUACUAACCUGAGGAGAAGGUGAUGAGCGGACUCUCUGUGGUGGGAGGAGACAGCGGGACAGACAGCCAAAUAUGGCCGUAGGAAAUACACAGCAGUGGCAAUUUAAGUGAAGAGGGUCAUCGCGGGCAACUGUGUCUUCUUCAAAAAAGGCUUGCAGAUGUGAAGAAGCUGUUCAAAGUUGUAUGCUCAAGUUACAGCCAGGCUUUAGGACCAAAUGCUGGAGGAUGAGCCCGAGGAGAUGCUUGGAGGACCAUUAAGAACUGGAUUAUGAGAUGACAGUGCUUUUGAAACAGUGUAAAUAAGUGGCUCUGAGCUGGUGGUAUGCAUUUACAUUGUGUGUCACACUGAACUGCAGGUGUGUUUCAUGGAAAACAAAAAACUAUUUGGAAAUGCAUUGGAUGUCUGAUACAGUGCUUUUGUUUGAGACUACUGUUUCCUGCAGUGUGUAAGCAACAUUAGUCUCAUAGAUUGAUAUGAAACUCAGUUUACAUACAGCAGGUCGGUUAUUAGGUCCCCUCCACCUCCGAUGUUUCACAGACUACUCCUACAGUCAACUGUGGUGCUACAACUUGAAAAUGCUACACUCUUCUUGCAGUGGUUACUUCCCCAAACUGUGCCCAUCUCAUCUUGUAAACAUAAUGACCUUUAUUGUAGAUAAAUGUGCAAAUAUUCUGCCUGUGUUACAUUAUAUAACUGUUAUAUAGUUUUAUACUGUAUAAUGUUAUUUCACAGUGAUUGUGGAUACUUUUUUUUCACAGUGAUUGUGGUAACUGUACAUCUCUACAUGAAAUACUUUCCACUAAUGAAUGAUCAAUAGUUGUUUAAUCUUGAGUUAAUACUGCUGUUACCUUUUCAAUGAAAGGAACUAAUUUAUCAUGCCACUUUCUUUAGGUAACUAUUAAACUUUUACUGCAAAAUCGUUUGCCAAAGCAUGUUUACUUUACCUGUCUUGAAAAUGUGAUGUAGAAUUACUGUUUAUAUUUAUGCCUUAAAAUUGUAUGGCAGUUUUAUACAGGGUAUAUAAUAAAAACAUGUUAAUUAAGUAGGUAGGUAUACAGUUGUGUUGUUGUUUUCAUGGCAUUAGUAUUAAUACAAAUUAAUUAAUAAAAAGUUUUCAUUACCCGGCUGCUUAACUUUGCUCUAGACAUUUACACUAGACAACUCAGACUAUUUACUUUUUAAGUUAUGUAUAUACUAUAAAUACAUAUAUUUAUGUACAGUAUGUGUGAAUGCUUUUGUGGUCUUUGUUUUUAAAUGCUUAUCAGCACA